ACUGCAUUUGAAACUGCCGACCUAGAGUAUGGGAGGGGGAGAUGGAAUUAGUGGUGUAGGGGUAAAAUCCGUAGAUAUCACUAGGAAUACCGAAAGCGAAGGCGAUCUCCUGGAACAUAACUGACGCUAAGGCGUGAAAGCGUGGGGAGCAAACAGGAUUAGAUACCCUGGUAGUCCACGCCCUAAACGAUGUUCACUAGUCGUCGCUCUGCUAGUCAGGGCGGUGAUGCACUUAACAGAUUAAGUGAACCGCCUGGGGAGUACGGUCGCAAGAUUAAAACUCAAAGGAAUAGACGGGGACCCGCACAAGUGGUGGAGCAUGUGGUUUAAUUCGAAGAUACGCGAAGAACCUUACCUAGCCUUGACAUUGAGAGAACCUGCCAGAGAUGGCGGGGUGCCCUUCGGGGAGCUCGAAAACAGGUGCUGCACGGCUGUCGUCAGCUCGUGUCGUGAGAUGUUGGGUUAAGUCCCGCAACGAGCGCAACCCUCGUCCUUAGUUGCUAGCAGGUUAAGCUGAGCACUCUAAGGAGACUGCCUUCGUAAGGAGGAGGAAGGUGAGGACGACGUCAAGUCAUCAUGGCCCUUAUGGCUAGGGCUACACACGUGCUACAAUGGGGCGUACAGAGUGUUGCGAUACCGCGAGGUGGAGCUAAUCACUUAAAGCGUCUCUCAGUUCGGAUUGGAGUCUGCAACUCGACUCCAUGAAGCUGGAAUCACUAGUAAUCGUAGAUCAGCAAUGCUACGGUGAAUACGUUCCCGGGUCUUGCACACACCGCCCGUC
rnacentral:rRNA from 1 species